rnacentral:rRNA from 1 species
AACGAACGCUGGCGGCGUGCCUAACACAUGCAAGUCGAACGGGAAAGCCCGCAAGGGUGAGUACAGUGGCGCACGGGUGCGUAACACGUGGGUAAUCUGCCCAGAAGCCCGGAAUAACUCCCCGAAAGGGGUGCUAAUGCCGGAUGAGACCACGGGGACUUCGGUUCCUGGGGGAAAAGGUGGCCUCUGUAUACAAGCUAUCACUUCUGGAUGAGCCCGCGGCCCAUCAGCUAGUUGGCGGGGUAAUGGCCCACCAAGGCUACGACGGGUAGCUGGUCUGAGAGGACGAUCAGCCACACUGGAACUGAGACACGGUCCAGACUCCUACGGGAGGCAGCAGUGGGGAAUCUUGCGCAAUGGGCGAAAGCCUGACGCAGCAACGCCGCGUGUGUGAUGAAGGUCUUCGGAUCGUAAAGCACUGUCGGGGGGGACGAAUAAGGGCCGGGUGAACAAUCCGGUUCGACGACGGUACCUCCAGAGGAAGCACCGGCUAACUCUGUGCCAGCCGCCGCCGUAAAAC